rnacentral:misc_RNA from 1 species
GAAAUGCGAUAAGUAGUGUGAAUUGCAGAUGUAUAUGUGAAUCAUCGAAUCUUUGAACGCAAAUUGCACUCCCUGGUAUUCCGGGGAGUAUGCCUGUUUGAGGGUCGCCAAAUAAACAUCGAUAACGUUUGCUUUUUUUUCGAAGUAUAAUGUUUAUCGGAUUUGAGCUUUCUUUAUCUUUAAUAUAUAAAGUGGCUUAAAAAUUUAAUUUUUUGGUAUCUUCGAAAGCGUAUUUUACGAUCAAUUUCUGAUCAAAAAGAACGUUUCGAAUGCCAACAUCCUUCAAUGUAAUACGUUUGACUAUACGAAAAAUAAUAGUUCAUUCGUAUACGAUUAAUUUUUUUUUGACCUCAAAUCAGGUAAGAGUACCCGCUGAACUUAAGC